rnacentral:rRNA from 1 species
UACGUGAGGGGCGAACGUUGUUCGGUGUCACUGGGCUUAAAGGGUGCGUAGGUGGUUGUGUAAGUAACGUGUGAAAUCCCUCGGCUUAACCGGGGAACUGCGUCUGAUACUGGAUGGCUAGAGUUUGGGAGAGGGAUGCGGAAUUCCAGGUGUAGCGGUGAAAUUCGUAGAUAUCGGGAGGAACACCGGUGGCGAAGGCGGCGACCUGGGUCGAUACUGACGCUGAUGCGCGAAAGCGUGGGGAGCAAACAGG